AUUUGCACCAGGGCUGGUGGACAUGUCCUUCAUCUAAAGUGGACUUAGAGAGAACUGGGACAAGUAAUCUUCAAUGCAAACCUUCUUCAGUAGCUGACUGAAUCCUGUUAUGUGGUCCCACUUCAUGGGUUAACCCAGGAGGUGGCCUGGCUUCUACAUAGGUGGCCUCUGAGAUUGUACAGUGAUUCUUCUGUGCAGCUCCUCCAUCCUUACAAUUAAAUCACUGGCCUUCAGACAGACUAGGACUUGUACCACUGGCUUCCCUGGUUCUUGGGUCUUUGGGCUUGGACCAGAGCUACUACACCAGCUUUCUUGCACCUCCAUCUUGCAGAAAGAAGACUGUGGGACUUCUUAGCCUUCAUAAUAA